rnacentral:lncRNA from 10 species
GGGAACACCAUCCAGUGAAGUAACAAUAUGAUUUGACACAUAGGAGGAACCUAACCUGAAGGAAUGUGUGGCCUGCAGGAGCCCUGGGCAUCUGCCUCCACUGCGGCUGUAAUUGGAAAGAAAGAAGGUGUUCAUUUCUCUAUUUCUCUGCUCCAGCUGCUGAUCCUCAGUUUCCCCCUAGAGCUGUGUGAGCCCCCUUUGCCAAGUGACCUCUUCACAUUACUUCUGGAAUCCUGUUUUGGACAGAACAGGUGCCUGUCUGACUAGUACUGUCAUACCUUCCAGCCCCAGCUCAGCAUUUCUUGCCACUUCUGUACCUUGGUCUCACACUCCUUCUCCUGGGCCGAUGGCCACCUGCUUUUUAAAUAAAUCUUU